rnacentral:tRNA from 1 species
GUGGGUAUAGCUUAGUGGUAGAAUACAUGCUUAGCAUUGCAUGAGGUCCUGGGUUCAAUCCCCAGUACCUCCA